rnacentral:tRNA from 1 species
GCCCUCGUAGUUUAAUGGACAAAAUGCGAGGUUGCGGACCUCGUGACUGCAGGUUCGAUUCCUGCCGAGGGCA